AUGCUUCUACUUUCUGUAUGGAGCUGGGAGCGUCUGCCUGUUGGACGCCCGAAGAGCAUCAAGUUUAAUCCUUGGGAUGAAGAUGACGAAUUACGGUUACGGCGCCCCACUUGGGCUUACAAGUGGGAUGUUGUAUCCGAGAUGACGAACGAUGUCAAUCUCAUGUACCAAAAGUACAUUGCCGAGUUGGACACGAUUAUGCCUGAGCAGGUAACGAGGACAUUACUUCAGUCAUUUCUCAUGAUUGCCUGA
rnacentral:rRNA from 1 species